AUGUUUGUUUAAAAAAAAACAAAAAGUCGAUAGACACAGUUGAAACACCUUUCUUGGUUUUAUGUUAAUGUUCACCUAAUCUUUUAAGGUUAGGGAUAAAUGACUAAUUGGCAGUUUGUCUGGGGCGGACGUCUUUAAUAGAGUAUCAGAGACAUCCACAAGGUAUGUCUUAAAUUGGAUGGAGACCAAGCAAGCCAUGAACGGCACAAUAAGGUAUAAUGACUUAAGCAUGCUUAACUGAGAGACCCAUAAGUCAAACAGAUACGUAAGUAGGGCAUAAUGAUCCGGCGG
rnacentral:rRNA from 1 species